GUCCUGGGAUAGCUCAGCUGAUGAAGCAUAAGGCUCUUAAUCUCAGGAUCAUGGGUUUGAGCCCCACACUGGGCA